rnacentral:lncRNA from 1 species
GGCUCUCUGCCUUCCUCUGAGUUCUACAAAAUCUGUGGACUUGGCUCUCUGGUUAGGCCUGAUCUAAGAAGGCCAAGCAUCUACUCUCUCGGUGGUCUUUGGGGCUGGUGGUAUGGUCAAGACCAGCAUUGAUAAGGAAGCUCUGCUCAUUUCCCCACAGGUGAAAGAGGAAAUGAUGAUUAGAAAAGAACUGUUCUAAGCAGGGGUAAUGGGAGCCACAGGAAGGGAGAAGUUACUGCUGCUCCUAGAAGCUCACUCUAAGGGGGAAAUGCUGAGAUAGCAUGAUUCAAGGGGAAAUAAGGGACCACAGGUAAUGGGGUGGCCACUGUUGCCUAGGGAAGUAGUAAUCAGGGGAGAAGUAGUAAUCAGGUGGCCCUCCAGUUACUCCUGAAGAAGAGAGCUAGUGCUUUCCAGGCCAAGGAAAAGUCAGGAAUGAAGCUACGCUGGUGUGGAAGAUGUCAGCUCUAUGCAGGAGGGCUGCUCAGUGUGGCUGAAACAGCACAUGAACAUCAGGGGCCCAAACUGGCCAAAUUGGGGGGUGACAAAGAGGAGUACAGACAAACAGGGUCCUUGGCCUGACAUUAUGGAGAGGUCAAAUGGGCAGCAGUGUGAAGAAAAGAAUGGAAAAGAGACAGGACAGGAAGGUGAGGAAGUAGCUGCCAGGUCUUAGUGAAUGUGAGGCCUAGAUUUGUUUGGAGGCUGGUGACUGUUAUCUUAGAUAACUUAUUUUGUAAGUUAUCUUCUGAUUGUUGAUUCAGAGGGGACAAGAUGAAUUUUCACUGAGCUUGUAAAAACUUUACUUUGACCUAAGAAGUGUUGGGAGCUUUCCAAAAUUUGGGAAUCAAAUUUCAGGUCCUAGGAGAUGCUGCUACCUUCCUCCGUGAGGGGGCGCUGCAGGACAAGCCAGGAGCCAGUUUGGGCUCUGCUCACCCAUGGGAUCCAUUGAUCAUAGGCAUCUGGGCCACUUCCAGGCUCAAUUCUCC